CCGCCGCCGCGGCACUCGCACUUCGGCUCCCUCCGUCACCCGGCGCCGCCGCGCCCAUUGGCUACCUGCGCGGGGGCGGGGCCUAAGCAGCCCCGCCCCGUCCCCGCGGCGCGGCAUUCCCGGCGCGGACCCCCGCCCCCGACGUGCCGGGAGUCGGCCCCGCCCACACGCGAGCCCCCGGCCCGCUCUCGGCCCUGCCCACCCGAGGCUCCGCCGGUUCCCUCUCCCCGGGCUCCGCGCCGCUUGGCAGACCUCGCCCGGUCCUAGCAGCGCAUGGGAUCUGAACUCAGAUGUGCCCUCUCCCUCCCGGGGAGGCGCUGCCACCGUCCACAUCCCAUUCACGUGGGACGCCCUGGGCCUGAUCCCGACAGAGGCGUGAAAGGAGCCUGGGCGGUGUGUCCUCUGGCUCUCAGCUCGCUCCGCACUGGGCUGGUCCUCGCGCGAAAGCUCGGAGCCACACUGGGGUCUCCACGGGAGCCUCGUGUCCCCGAGCCGGCCAGCCCCGCAGCGCCCCCAGGGUGAUUUCCUAAUGCGCAUUUUUUCCCUCCCAGUCGGUGUUGUGCCCUAUCACUUGAGGGCGCUGGUUUCAGGCCAGGUCCCGCGUCCCUUCCGCAGCAGGCCGGAUUGUGGUCUGGUUUGAGCUUGAGGCCCUGGGAAGAAGGCAAAGCGCAGGCUUGGUGGAACCAGGAUUCCCUCUGGCAAGAUUUGACCUGCACCUAAGGAGCUCUUAGGGCCCAGUUAGGAAUUACACACCAGACCCUCUCUGCAUGGUGGUGCAAACAGCAUUUAGGAGGCUAAGGGCUCAGAGCAGAGGAGGAACAGGGAGGAAGACACCCUGAGAUCCACGGGUGUGGAGCUCUGCUGGAUGAGGGUGAAGUCUGACAUUUCUGGAUAGCCCUGUGCUCAGGCGAAGCUGAUGGACUCCCUUUUCUCAGUGGGGUCUUCCUCUCUCCACCUGAUCCGGGUACCCCAGAUCUUGUAAGGAGCGGUACAUAGCCCUCGGAGAAAGAUCACAGGCCGGAACUGGAGUUACAGACAGUUGUGAGCUGCCUUGAGGGUGCAUGGGAAUUGAACCCUGGACCUUUGGAAGAGCAGCCAUUGUGUUUAACCGCUGAGUCAUCUCUCCAGCCCCUGGCCCCUGCCUUUCCCCUCUUAUGAUAGGACUGCUUUGGCACAUGUAGAUUAAGUGUCCCUGGCAACCCUGACCCCGGUGAAUCAAAUACAUUCACUCUCAGAACGCUUCCCACCGCCCAAGAUUUACAUUGCUCUUGAUUUCACACUGAAUAAACAGCACUCUCUCACUUC